rnacentral:rRNA from 1 species
CGGCGGACGGGUGAGUAAUGCCUAGGAAUCUGCCUGGUAGUGGGGGACAACGUUUCGAAAGGAACGCUAAUACCGCAUACGUCCUACGGGAGAAAGCAGGGGACCUUCGGGCCUUGCGCUAUCAGAUGAGCCUAGGUCGGAUUAGCUAGUUGGUGAGGUAAUGGCCCACCAAGGCGACGAUCCGUAACUGGUCUGAGAGGAUGAUCAGUCACACUGGAACUGAGACACGGUCCAGACUCCUACGGGAGGCAGCAGCG